rnacentral:tRNA from 1 species
GGUAGAGUGCAGCUCGGUGGAGAGUGCGUGCUUAGCAUGCACGAGGUCCUGGGUUCUAUCCCCAGUACUUCUG